rnacentral:rRNA from 1 species
CACUCCUGCGGGAGGCAGCAGUGGGGAAUAUUGCACAAUGGGCGCAAGCCUGAUGCAGCCAUGCCGCGUGUAUGAAGAAGGCCUUCGGGUUGUAAAGUACUUUCAGCGGGGAGGAAGGCGAUAAGGUUAAUAACCUUGUCGAUUGACGUUACCCGCAGAAGAAGCACCGGCUAACUCCGUGCCAGCAGCCGCGGUAAUACGGAGGGUGCAAGCGUUAAUCGGAAUUACUGGGCGUAAAGCGCACGCAGGCGGUCUGUCAAGUCGGAUGUGAAAUCCCCGGGCUCAACCUGGGAACUGCAUUCGAAACUGGCAGGCUAGAGUCUUGUAGAGGGGGGUAGAAUUCCAGGUGUAGCGGUGAAAUGCGUAGAGAUCUGGAGGAAUACCGGUGGCGAAGGCGGCCCCCUGGACAAAGACUGACGCUCAGGUGCGAAAGCGUGGGGAGCAAACAGGAUUAGAAACCCUUGUAGUCCCAUGA